rnacentral:rRNA from 1 species
CGGGAGGCAGCAGUGGGGAAUAUUGGACAAUGGGGGCAACCCUGAUCCAGCGACGCCGCGUGGGUGAUGAAGGCCUUCGGGUCGUAAAGCCCUUUUGCCGGGGACGAUGAUGACGGUACCCGGAGAAGAAGCACCGGCUAACUCUGUGCCAGCAGCCGCGGUAAUACAGAGGGUGCGAGCGUUAAUCGGAAUUACUGGGCGUAAAGCGAGUGUAGGUGGCUCAUUAAGUCACAUGUGAAAUCCCCGGGCUUAACCUGGGAACUGCAUGUGAUACUGGUGGUGCUAGAAUAUGUGAGAGGGAAGUAGAAUUCCAGGUGUAGCGGUGAAAUGCGUAGAGAUCUGGAGGAAUACCGAUGGCGAAGGCAGCUUCCUGGCAUAAUAUUGACACUGAGAUUCGAAAGCGUGGGUAGCAAACAGGAUUAGAUACCCUGGUAGUCCACGCCGUAAACGAUGUCUACUAGCCGUUGGGGUCCUUGAGACUUUAGUGGCGCAGUUAACGCGAUAAGUAGACCGCCUGGGGAGUACGGCCGCAAGGUUAAAACUCAAAUGAAUUGACGGGGGCCCGCACAAGCGGUGGAGCAUGUGGUUUAAUUCGAUGCAACGCGAAGAACCUUACCUGGUCUUGACAUCCACGGAACUUUCCAGAGAUGGAUUGGUGCCUUCGGGAACCGUGAGACAGGUGCUGCAUGGCUGUCGUCAGCUCGUGUCGUGAGAUGUUGGGUUAAGCCCCGCAACGAGCGCAACCCUCGUUCUAUGUUGCCAGCACGUGAUGGUGGGGACUCAUAGGAGACUGCCGGGGUCAACUCGGAGGAAGGUGGGGAUGACGUCAAAUCAUCAUGCCCCUUAUGACCUGGGCUACACACGUGCUACAAUGGCUGGUACAACGAGUCGCAAGUCGGUGACGGCAAGCUAAUCUCUUAAAGCCAGUCUCAGUUCGGAUUGUAGGCUGCAACUCGCCUACAUGAAGUCGGAAUCGCUAGUAAUCGCGGAUCAGCAUGUCGCGGUGAAUACGUUCCCGGGUCUUGU